rnacentral:rRNA from 1 species
GACGAACGCUGGCGGCGUGCUUAACACAUGCAAGUCGAACGGAAAGGCCCUGCUUUUGUGGGGUGCUCGAGUGGCGAACGGGUGAGUAACACGUGAGUAACCUGCCCUUGACUUUCGGAUAACUUCACGAAACUGGGCCUAAUACCGUAUAGCAGCUCCUGUUGCAUGGAGAGGGUUGGAACUUCUCGGCGGGCGGGGAUGGAUUCGCGGCUUAUCAGCUUGUUGGUGGGGUAGUGGCUUACCAAGCCUUUGACGGGUACCCGGCCUGUGAGGGUGACCGGCGUCAAGGGGACUAAGGGAGGGCGCAGUGGGGAACGGUAGACAGCAGGGGGAAGUAUGAUACAGCGAGAGGGAGCCGGAGGCAAAGACGCCGGGUGCGGGAAGACGGCCUGCGGGGUGAGAAAAGCUGUAGCCUAAGACGAAGCGGGAGUGACGGUAAUGGAUGAAGAAGCACCGGCUAACUACGUG